rnacentral:sRNA from 1 species
AAGCAAACUGUUGAGCACGACGCUCGCAGUUGCGCGUUGCUUUCGACCUUGACCACGGAUGUACUGGCACGCGUUUUGAGAGCGAAAGAACAGAAGGGCCGGAGCCGCGCGCUCCGGCCUUUUUUUGU